AGUGAACGCUGGCGGUAGGCCUAACACAUGCAAGUCGAACGGCAGCACAGUAAGAGCUUGCUCUUACGGGUGGCGAGUGGCGGACGGGUGAGGAAUACAUCGGAAUCUACUUUUUCGUGGGGGAUAACGUAGGGAAACUUACGCUAAUACCGCAUACGACCUACGGGUGAAAGCAGGGGAUCUUCGGACCUUGCGCGAUUGAAUGAGCCGAUGUCGGAUUAGCUAGUUGGCGGGGUAAAGGCCCACCAAGGCGACGACCCGUAGCUGGUCUGAGAGGAUGAUCAGCCACACUGGAACUGAGACACGGUCCAGGCUCCUACGGGAGGCAGCAGUGGGGAAUAUUGGACAAUGGGCGCAAGCCUGAUCCAGCCAUACCGCGUGGGUGAAGAAGGCCUUCGGGUUGUAAAGCCCUUUUGUUGGGAAAGAAAAGCAGCAGGUUAAUACCCCGCUGUUCUGACGGUACCCAAAGAAUAAGCACCGGCUAACUUCGU
rnacentral:rRNA from 1 species